rnacentral:snRNA from 1 species
AUUUUUUUUUCGGCCUUUUGGCUAAGAUCAAGUGUAGUAUCUGUUCUUAUCAACUUACUUCUUGACACUAACAUUCAGUUGCAUUCCCCAUGCAGUCAAAUACUGAUUAUAAAAAGCAGCCGAUAGAGACACACACCAGAGCAGUCUAUUACCUUAUUGUUUGUACUGUGACAAUACAGACUCUGA